GACGAACGCUGGCGGCGUGCCUAAUACAUGCAAGUAGAACGCUGAAGGAGGAGCUUGCUUCUCCGGAUGAGUUGCGAACGGGUGAGUAACGCGUAGGUAACCUGUCUGGUAGCGGGGGAUAACUAUUGGAAACGAUAGCUAAUACCGCAUAACAGUAGAUAUUGCAUGAUAUCUGCUUAAAAGGUGCAAUUGCAUCACUACCAGAUGGACCUGCGUUGUAUUAGCUAGUUGGUGAGGUAACGGCUCACCAAGGCGACGAUACAUAGCCGACCUGAGAGGGUGAUCGGCCACACUGGGACUGAGACACGGCCCAGACUCCUACGGGAGGCAGCAGUAGGGAAUCUUCGGCAAUGGACGGAAGUCUGACCGAGCAACGCCGCGUGAGUGAAGAAGGUUUUCGGAUCGUAAAGCUCUGUUGUAAGAGAAGAACGAGUGUGAGAGUGGAAAGUUCACACUGAGACGGUAUCUUACCAGAAAGGGACGGCUAACUACGUGCCAGCAGCCGCGGUAAUACGUAGGUCCCGAGCGUUGUCCGGAUUUAUUGGGCGUAAAGCGAGCGCAGGCGGUUAGAUAAGUCUGAAGUUAAAGGCUGUGGCUUAACCAUAGUACGCUUUUGGAAACUGUUUAACUUGAGUUGCUGGAUGGGAGAGUGGAAUUCCAUGUGUAGCGGUGAAAUGCGUAUAUAUAUGGAGGAACACCGGUGGUGUAAGCGGCUCUCUGUCUUGUACUGACUCUGUAGGUUCGAAAUUGUGUGUGCAAACAUGAUAAUAUAUUCUGGUAUUUGAGUAGUAGUCCAUCUGAAUUCAUGCUUAUGGAUCCGUGUCCCCUGGGGGGGGACAAAAAACUAUUAUUUUCUGUUGUGAUGUGCAUUACAUUAUUCUGUUGUGAUGCUUCUGUAUGUGUUUGUGUUAUUUGUGUUGUUAGUAUUGUGUGUCCCCCUCUCUUUGUGUUUUUCUUGUUUUUUAUUUUUAUUUUUUGCUAGUCUUGUCUAAGCAUAUGCAUGUGCCCUGUUGGAUUGCUAGUAUGUACUGAUGUUCUGUUGAUGCUGUUGCAUUGUCUGUAGUUCUGUUGUCCUGUGCUCUGUGUACUUGUGGUUUGUAUGUUGAUGUGAUGGGCGCGCUAUGCAGUAACC
rnacentral:rRNA from 1 species